CAGCUUGAGCUUGAAUCAAAGACGCAUGAAAUCUGAGAAGAAAUCAGAUUCACCGAGUACUUAAGCAGAUAAAUCGUGUGGAUACAGAGUGGAAAACGCAAGACGCGUCCCUUCCAGCUCAAACAAAACCCUUCAACUAAGGUCACAUUGCUAUGCUCCCUCUUGUUCUCUUCUGUGUUUCCAAAAUGACCCUUUCUCCAAUUUUUCCCUUCCCAUUUCUCACUUUGAUCCUCUUCUCUCUCCCCCAUCUUCCUCCUUCUCCUUCCCCUGCUCCUCCUCCAAAUAGUCACGGCACUACCACUGAUCAAGGAGUAGCUUACCUUCUCAUGUUGGUUGCCCUGGCUAUCACCUACUUGUUUCACUAAUUGAUUUCUCUCUCCUUUGUAAAAUGUUAAUUGCCAACUAAAUUAUUCACUGUUCUUUCCUCAUCAGAUAUAUUCAAUCCUGCUUUGCUUUUA